GAUGAACGCUAGCGGCAGGCUUAAUACAUGCAAGUCGAACGGUAACUGGAGUAGCAAUACUACAGCAAGAGUGACGUACGGGUGAGUAAACACGUAUCCAAACCUGUCCCAUACUCGGGGAUAGCCUUUCGAAAGAAAGAUUAAUACCCGAUGGUAUCAGAUUAAGGCAUCUUGAUUUGAUUAAAGAACUUCGGUAUGGGGUGGGGAUGCGUUCCAUUAGCUUGUUGGCGGGGUAACGGCCCACCAAGGCAACGAUGGAUAGGGGUUCUGAGAGGAAGGUCCCCCACAUUGGAACUGAGACACGGUCCAAACUCCUACGGGAGGCA
rnacentral:rRNA from 1 species